rnacentral:tRNA from 1 species
GGCGGCGUAGCUCAGUUGGUAGAGCAGCGGAAUCAUAAUCCGCGUGUCGGGGGUUCGAAGCCCUCCGCCGCUACCA